rnacentral:lncRNA from 1 species
UAUUCUACAAUCUACAUGCUAAAUCAUCCUUCUGAAGGUCAUGUUUUUCCACCUCAUUGUGUUUGAGUCAGCUUUGGUAGAUGGCCAUAUUUCCUGAGACACAGUGCCACAGAGAGUGAAAUAGGGGGAACAUUUUGGCCUAUGUACAAAAUAUUUUUGCUUUCAGGGGCUUUAAUUCUUUUAAAGCUGCUUUGAGUCUUGCAUAAGGCAAGUAAUAAUAAGGCAUGUAAAAAGCACUGAAUAAAGCCCAGCAACUAGAAAUAUCUGCCCUAUUACUCUUCAAUAGAGGACCUUUUUUACCUACUGUUUUCACUAAUUUGAAGACUAGUUCCCCAGUACUGAACACAGCAACACUUUUGAGAGGAAAGAUGCAUCUCAGCACUUCUUUUUAUUAUUAUUAUUUUAUUGUUAUUAGCCAUCUCCUGCUGAGGGACAAAGAGGAGGAAUUUCAACUUCUGUACUUAGUACUCAUUUCAGAGAAUAGUACCAAAAACAUUCUGCACUUCAAAGAUACGUCAACUCAAGUUUAAGAUACAUGAUUUUCACUUAAGUGUCAGUAUUUCUCAUUUUAGAUCUUUAUAAUCUAUUUAGCCUCAUCUCCAAAAGUAUACGAUGCUCAGAUUACACUGAGUCCUACUCAAACCCUAGGAGGUAAUGUUUACUUAAAGAACCAUAACUAAUACACAUUGUUGCCUGUGGGAUUACUAAGUCUAACACAACCUGAUGGUUGUCUCUGCACUCAUUUAAUGUGAGAAUUAACAACCCAUUAACUCUACACUGAAGAGAACUGAGAAAUUCACCCACACAAGGAAAUUGGGGGGACUCAAUGCUCAGAUAGGUUUUAAUCCUGGGAGAAUCUACCACAGCAUCAAGCAGAUGACUUCCAGAGAGCAACCAAUUGCUUCUCACAAGAAGAUGAACCGCAGAGCCCAGCUGCUUCUGGCCUGUAUUACAGGAGACAAGAACAACUACAAUGAAGUAAGGUUGCUAGAGAAGACUACUACAGAAACAACAGGAAAUGCAGUUUCCAGAGAUUUAUCACACUACCAAAGCACUUUUUCAAAGAAAUGGAAAACAGCACAGUGAAAGCAACAGCAGCUUCUCGAAGCCUUUCAGGAAACCCACUAACCACAAACUGCCAAAUACCCACGCCUUGGAUUUAAAAGCAGUUAAAAGAAAGUUGACAGCUAUUGUGCCCAGCUUUAAUUACUAAAGAAGAUAAAAUAUAUAUACACAUCACUUAGCAACAGCCUAAGCAAUAUCAGUAAGAAGAGCCAAGACCUGCACUUCUGAG